CAUGCAAGUCGAACGGCAGCACGGGAGCAAUCCUGGUGGCGAGUGGCGAACGGGUGAGUAAUAUAUCGGAACGUGCCCAGUCGUGGGGGAUAACGCAGCGAAAGCUGUGCUAAUACCGCAUACGAUCUCUGGAUGAAAGCGGGGGACUCGCAAGGGCCUCGCUCGAUUGGAGCGGCCGAUAUCAGAUUAGCUAGUUGGUGGGGUAAAAGCCCACCAAGGCGACGAUCUGUAGCUGGUCUGAGAGGACGACCAGCCACACUGGAACUGAGACACGGUCCAGACUCCUACGGGAGGCAGCAGUGGGGAAUUUUGGACAAUGGGCGAAAGCCUGAUCCAGCAAUGCCGCGUGCAGGAUGAAGGCCUUCGGGUUGUAAACUGCUUUUGUACGGAACGAAACGGCCGCCUCUAAUACGGGUGGCUAAUGACGGUACCGUAAGAAUAAGCACCGGCUAACUACGUGCCAGCAGCCGCGGUAAUACGUAGGGUGCGAGCGUUAAUCGGAAUUACUGGGCGUAAAGCGUGCGCAGGCGGUUAUAUAAGACAGAUGUGAAAUCCCCGGGCUCAACCUGGGACCUGCAUAUGUGACUGUAUAGCUAGAGUACGGUAGAGGGGGAUGGAAUUCCGCGUGUAGCAGUGAAAUGCGUAGAUAUGCGGAGGAACACCGAUGGCGAAGGCAAUCCCCUGGACCUGU
rnacentral:rRNA from 1 species